GAAAUAUGAUGAUCAAAAAAAAGCUGCUAACUUUUUUAUUUAGCGGUUAAAUUCCGUUUAUAUUUCU
rnacentral:tRNA from 1 species